rnacentral:rRNA from 1 species
CCUAUAAGACUGGGAUAACUUCGGGAAACCGGAGCUAAUACCGGAUAAUAUAUUGAACCGCAUGGUUCAAUGGUGAAAGACGGUUUUGCUGUCACUUAUAGAUGGAUCCGCGCCGCAUUAGCUAGUUGGUAAGGUAACGGCUUACCAAGGCAACGAUGCGUAGCCGACCUGAGAGGGUGAUCGGCCACGCUGGAACUGAGACACGGUCCAGACUCCUACGGGAGGCAGAGCG